GAUGAAGCCCAGCUUGCUGGGUGGAUUAGUGGCGAACGGGUGAGUAACACGUGAGUAACCUGCCCUUAACUCUGGGAUAAGCCUGGGAAACUGGGUCUAAUACCGGAUAGGAGCGCCGACCGCAUGGUGGGUGUUGGAAAGAUUUAUCGGUUUUGGAUGGACUCGCGGCCUAUCAGCUUGUUGGUGAGGUAAUGGCUCACCAAGGCGACGACGGGUAGCCGGCCUGAGAGGGUGACCGGCCACACUGGGACUGAGACACGGCCCAGACUCCUACGGGAGGCAGCAGUGGGGAAUAUUGCACAAUGGGCGCAAGCCUGAUGCAGCGACGCCGCGUGAGGGAUGACGGCCUUCGGGUUGUAAACCUCUUUCAGUAGGGAAGAAGCGAAAGUGACGGUACCUGCAGAAGAAGCACCGGCUAACUACGUGCCAGCAGCCGCGGUAAUACGUAGGGUGCGAGCGUUAUCCGGAAUUAUUGGGCGUAAAGAGCUCGUAGGCGGUUUGUCGCGUCUGUCGUGAAAGUCCGGGGCUUAACCCCGGAUCUGCGGUGGGUACGGGCAGACUAGAGUGCAGUAGGGGAGACUGGAAUUCCUGGUGUAGCGGUGGAAUGCGCAGAUAUCAGGAGGAACACCGAUGGCGAAGGCAGGUCUCUGGGCUGUAACUGACGCUGAGGAGCGAAAGCAUGGGGAGCGAACAGGAUUAGAUACCCUGGUAGUCCAUGCCGUAAACGUUGGGCACUAGGUGUGGGGACCAUUCCACGGUUUCCGCGCCGCAGCUAACGCAUUAAGUGCCCCGCCUGGGGAGUACGGCCGCAAGGCUAAAACUCAAAGGAAUUGACGGGGGCCCGCACAAGCGGCGGAGCAUGCGGAUUAAUUCGAUGCAACGCGAAGAACCUUACCAAGGCUUGACAU
rnacentral:rRNA from 1 species